AUUGAACGCUGGCGGCAGGCCUAACACAUGCAAGUCGAACGAGUGGCGGACGGGUGAGUAAUGUCUGGGAAACUGCCUGUGGGCGGGGGAUAACUACUGGAAACGGUAGCUAAUACCGCAUACCAUCAGAUGUGCCCAGAGGGGAUUAGCUAGUUGGUGGGGUAACGGGUCACCAAGGCGACGAUCCCUAGCUGGUCUGAGAGGAUGAGCAGCAAAACUGUAACUGAGACACGGUCCAGACUCCUACGGGAGGCAGCAGUGGGGAAUAGUGCACAAUGGGCGCAAGCCUGAUGCAGCCAUGCCGCGUGUAUGAAGAAGGCCUUGGGGUUGUAAGGUACUUUCAGCGGGGAGGCGUUACCCGCAGAAGAAGCACCGGCUAACGCCGUGCCAGCAGCCGCGGUAAUAC
rnacentral:rRNA from 1 species